CCCCCGGAAGCGGAAGUAAGCAAUAACUUCAACUAAAAACGCUGACUUGGCAUAUUUUUACGCAAGGAGUGAGAAUGCAUUAUUUGUUGCAAUUAAUAAUAAAUUUGGACUUCUAAAGACGUCUUAAACUGCUUCUCGCGUGGCUUUUGGAAUUUAAAGUCAGGAAUGAUCAAUUUAGAGAUACAAUUAUGCGUAAAAUAAGCCCUUUGGCGAGCAAAAGAACAUCUUCAGUAUCGCGACAAAAGCAUACCUUGUCAGC